GAUCCAAAAAUAAAAGUCUGCUUUUGCAAAGAAACGAGGGAGAGUGGAGUUCUUGCAUGAGCUUUUCUUGAAUUGUGCGGACAUUCCAAGAGGCUUGCAAUGCUGGUGAGAAUUGCUGAUAAUCUUCAGUUGACUUCGGAGUUGAGCUAUAGCCUUUUGUAGAUAGUGUCUCUGUCUACCUGCCUUGAUGUUCUUUCAAUGAGGCUGUUGCUGAACACAUCAUGUGGAUUCUUCUGGUGAUGCUUACUUCAGUAUCAGUUAGUAUCUGUGGAAGCUGCUACGAUCUCUGAGUAUCAUGUCAACCCUGGUAUUUUACUUCAUUUCAAUAUGGUGAUCCUUGCUAGGGCUGGCACAAAAUUGCAAAAGAAGGGCAGGAGAUCCUAGAAUCUGGAAAAUAGAAUGACCAUUAAAUAUCAUUUCAUCUUUGAAUUUAGAGUUAAUCUUGUUAGUGCUUGCAUGACCACGUUAGUCACAACAACUCACAGCACAGGCAAUAAGACAAAAUUAUAUAUAAGAUGCUUAAUUUCCCAAAUUCAAUUUCAACUAAUUAUGUUCUUGAUUGAAUGCUUUCUCUAUAAGGCUUUGGAUUCAUCCAUGAACCUGCAGGUAAAACAGCAUCCUUUUUUUAAUUUUCUAACUUUAAGUGUAUAGAUAGUUUCUAUUUCUUCAGUUUUUUUAAAAAAAAUUCUCUGUUCCUUGGGAUCCAUUCAUGUAGCUUACCUUGCUUAGUUCAGUCAUUGGCUAUCCUUUGUGUUAGAACUAGGUCCUCCAUUGAUUCUAAUUGUGAACUUGGGUUUUGAAGGACUUCUGCCAUCCAUUUUCCCUGUUAUGCUGUUCUCCGGCUGAUGAGCUUCAGAAGUUAUUAUUCAAAGUGGAAAGUAGAUUAACUAUGAUUUCCAAUUAGAUUAACUAUGAUUUCCAGGCUAUGUCUGCUUAUAUAUGUGUGUGUGUGUGUGUGUGUGUGUGUGUGUGUGUGUGUGUGUGUAGCAGAUAAGAAUACAUAGUUACUCUUGCUUCAAUAUUCAGAAGCAAGUCCUCUUCUCUUUCUGAAUUUCAAUAACAAAAGUAGCUUUUUUCUAAGAAAACCUUUUGACUUCUUUGGUUUCUUACCAUUUUACCUACUAUAAUUGUACGUUUGACAGUGUAAAGUUUGCAGUCCUUGGUUAUUUUCUGGAGUGAUAAGAUGAGGCGGUGUCUAAAUUAUAGGCUUGCUGUGAGCUUUUCCUGUUCUUGUUGAUCUCAUGCUUGCAGGAAUCUAAAACAUGGCAAAUUUAUUACUAAAAUCAGAUAGUUGCCUCAACCACAUAACGAAAAAGAAGUGUAAUUUGACUUAUUCUUCCUGAAAUUUGCAGGAUUUUUCCUACCUUUCUCUUCUGUAGACCCUUCAAGGCUCCGCCAUGUGCCCUAGUUGAAAGCAGUCAUAUGUAUCAGCCUGUGCCAUGCCGGUAUGUCGUCUAAGAUGUUUACUGGCCGGGCAUGCUCUAACAUGGGUGCUUGAUAGGAGACUAUAAUUGUACUGCCCUGCUUGUUCUCAAUAGGAAACUGGCUGAUGCUCAAGACUUUGGUAAUCACUACAUUCGAACUUCGAAGCUGCUGUUUACAAGGCUUAGAGGAGCAGAUAUACCAGAAUCCCUAGUGUUGAAAUGAUGAUCUUUCCAGCAAGCUUGCGGCUCCGAUGAAUACUCGUCUGAAAAAAAUCGUCGAUAUCCACAAAUUCAGCUCAAGCUCGUACGCAAGCAAUAAAACUUGAAUGCUUGAAAUUCUAUAGCUUUGUUGUGGAUUGCCAUUUUAAAUUCGUGCAUUUGUUUGACAAAACAAAAUACGACAACGAGAUCUUUUAAAUAUCUGAAAUUUGACUUC